CAGGCAGGCACGGCUGUUCCUCAGAUGAU
rnacentral:piRNA from 1 species